rnacentral:rRNA from 1 species
AACGAACGCUGGCGGCAGGCCUAACACAUGCAAGUCGAGCGAGCAUUUCGGUGCUAGCGGCGGACGGGUGAGUAACGCGUGGGAACGUGCCCUUUUCUGCGGAAUAGUCCUGGGAAACUGGGGGUAAUACCGCAUACGCCCUUUUGGGGAAAGAUUUAUCGGAGAAGGAUCGGCCCGCGUUGGAUUAGGUAGUUGGUGGGGUAAUGGCCCACCAAGCCGACGAUCCAUAGCUGGUUUGAGAGGAUGAUCAGCCACACUGGGACUGAGACACGGCCCAGACCCCAACGGGGGGCCGCGGUGGGGAAUCUAAGACAGGGGGGGUAACCCUGAAUUAGCCCGGCCGGGGGGGUGAUGAGGGCCUUGGGGUUUUAAAGCUCUUUCAGCGGGGAGGAUAAGACGGGAACCAGCAAAAAAGGCCCCGCCAACUCCCUG